CCAGUAUCCAUACUUUCAAGAAACUCCUGGAAUCAGUGAUGCUUCAAUCCCUUGGACUAAAUGAAAGUCACAGCUUUGAUGGGAUAGAUGAAAGGAAUCCUUAUGUAUCAACAGCAGCUACCAGGAAAGAGGACUGGAUCACACUUACCCCACAGAGGGACAAAGAGAAUAGGACACAACAGUGAAGACCCUGACAGGAUCAUGCUUAAGCGGGAUGGUUAGCUGCUGUCCAGCCAGUGACAGUCACAAUCUCCAGAGCAACAGUGACUCCAGCUGGAUUGAUUGAAAGUCCCUGAAGCACUUUUCAUUGGAUCCUUACACCCAAAUGGCUCACGGUUCUAUAUGAUCAGUUCUACAUCUGCAAGAACGCUACCCACUGAAUAUUUACAAGUGUGGUUUCCAUGUACAAUUUCAUCAGUUCUAAGGCUGGAAAUGUCUGGAGGAGUUUCUUUAAUGAUCAAGGUCUCCACUCAGGAUAUUAAUACAUUUAAACGUGCAGAUAGGCACUAUCUAAUAGUGUCUAUGGACUAGGUACAACAUACCCUGUCUAUCCCUUCUGAAGAGCCCAUGUGUAUGACAGUUGUGAGAUUCAUCCCACCAUGUUUCCUGAUAGCAACCAGAUCAAAAUUUUCCAAGCACAUCAUGGUUUUCAACUCCUCCUGCUUAUCUUCCAUGCUGUGUAUUAGUGUAAAGGCUUUGAUCUAGGACUUAAACUGAUCUUUUUACCUAGACAGCUUGCAAAAAUAUUACUUUGUUUAUCUUCCUACAUGAUAUCUUCUAUGCUCUUUUGUACUAGUAGAUGAAUAAAGUUGGUAUAUAUGCUGAAGUCCUAAUACUCUGCUUUAGGUAUGGUAAAACAAAAUCAGACAUCAUUUGCUAUCCCAAUUCUGAGGACCACUCUGAAAAUAAUUCCUCCUAUUUUAUUAUGUUGGCCCACAACUUCAGAAACAGAUAUUGGUGCCUUGCAGUCAGAUCUUCCCACCAGUACCCCAUCUUGUUUCCAUGCAACAGAUGACAGCAGAGGAGCAGUCUGACAAAAUGGCAUCUGACAUGGAAGUGUAUAUGAAGCAAAGGUGUGUCAUUAAAUUCCUGCAUGAGGAAAAAAUGGCACUCACUGACAUUCACUGAUAGUUUACUGAACAUUUUUCAAGACCAUACAGUGGAUGUGAGGAUGGUGAAGUGGUGAGUGGUACAAUUCAGCAAUGAUGCCAUCAUAGCAGCUGUGAAGCAGUGGGUCACCUCCACUGGUGCAGAUUUUUACAACCACAUCAUGCAGACUCUUGCUUUCCACUGUCUAAAAUAAGACAGUGGAAAGCAAGUGGUGACUAUGUUGCAAAUGAGUGCUUUGAAUACAAGUGUUUUGUAGCUGAGAUUUCCUCUAUCAAAUAGCAUUAUUGUGCCCUUUGUUGCAGUUUCUAUGGAAAUUAAUAGGAAGCAUUACUUUCAGAGCUACCUACGUACAACCAUUUCAGAUGUAAUUCUUUUGAAUUGCAAGUCUACCUGUUCAAGACUACCCUAUCGCUCAAGUAAAAAAAAAAAAAAAAAAAGAAAUACCUGAGCAAAACAAAUUGGAUUUGGUCUGUGGUUUCUGAAGCAUCACAUGGAGGGAAAUUUUCUUGUACUUACUUUUAUUUAUUUAGUUAUUUUAAAUUAAUGACUUAACAUCUAUGAGUCUUGAUCAGAACUCUUCAGCCUCCAGCUGAAUGAAAUUGUUGUUCCUUGCUUAGAAUAACCUGUUGCUUAAGACAAAGCACAAGCUGGCCUCCUUCUUAUUGUAAUUAACUUCAUUUUAUAUUAAUCAAGCAUGGCUGUUUCUUCUGAUAGUAUAUAAUAAAGGGAUAUAGUCAGUUUUUUAA
ensembl:lncRNA